UAAAAAAUAUUUAACUGUGGAAUCUAAAACUAAUAAUUGGCUGGGCUAACCAACUGUCCCUAGAGCAAGUGGCAACGAACUUGAUGUUUGGUAUCCGAGACCCAAAUUCGAAUCCUAAUUGAUUUACAUUUUCAGCGAAGUUUAUUACUAAAUAACAUAAACGAAACGAGUAGCGUGCUAUCUAUCUCUCAAAAAAAAAAAAAAUGGUUGGGCUAAAUUUAUCAGCCCAAAAUAUUUAAGUCUCAUUAUUAGGUUUAAAUUAUGCAGCCUUGUGUAUUCCAUACUAUAUUUUUGACUAUCUGAUAUGAAACUAUUUUUUAUCCUGCCACAAUACUUAUUUUACAGUACAAAAAAAAAAAUAGUAAUAAUAUUUUGAGGUUGAUUCACAUUUUCAGCUAAGUUUAUUUUUAAAUAAAAUAAACGAAGUGGAUAGCGUGCUAUCUAUCUCUCAAAAAAAAAAAAAAAAUAUUUUGAGGUA
rnacentral:lncRNA from 1 species